CGCAGCCGCGGUAAUUCCAGCUCCAAUAGCGUAUAUUAAAGUUGUUGCAGUUAAAAAGCUCGUAGUUGAAUUUCGGGAUCAAAGGAUCGGUCAUGCCUUGGUAUGUACUGGUUUUAUUGGUUCUCACCUUCUAAAGAACCAUAAUGUCAUUCAUUUGAUGUUAUGGGGAAUUAGGACUGUUACCUUGAAAAAAUUAGAGUGUUUAAAGCAGGCUCACGCUUGAAUACAUUAGCAUGGAAUAAUGAAAUAGGACGUUUGAUUCUAUUUUGUUGGUUUCUAGGAUCGACGUAAUGAUUAAUAGGGAUAGUUGGGGGCAUUAGUAUUCAAUUGUCAGAGGUGAAAUUCUUGGAUUUAUUGAAGACUAACUACUGCGAAAGCAUUUGCCAAGGAUGUUUUCAUUAAUCAAGAACGAAAGUUAGGGGAUCGAAGACGAUCAGAUACCGUCGUAGUCUUAACCAUAAACUAUGCCGACUAGGGAUCGGAUGAUGUUAAUUUUUAAUGACUCAUUCGGCGCCUUACG
rnacentral:rRNA from 1 species